UGCCACCAUGUAAGACAUGACACUUCACCUUCUGCCAUGAUUGUAAGUUUCCUGAGGCCUCCCCAGCCAUGUGGAACUCAUGUAUUCUUAUAACAAAGAACCGGGGGGAGAUUUGAGAUACACGAUGAGGAGAAGGCAGUGUAACCACAGAGACUGAGAUUAGAGUGAUGUGGCCGCAAAGCAAGGAACGCCAGCAACCACCAGAGGCUGGAAGAGGCAAGGGAUGGAUUCUUCCCAAGAGCAUCCAGAGAAAGUGUGGCCCUGCUGACACUUGGAUUUCAGCCCAGUGAAGCAGAUUUCAGACUGCUGACCUCCAGGGCUGUGAAAGAAUAAAUGUAUGUUGCUUCAAGCUA
rnacentral:lncRNA from 1 species